rnacentral:pre_miRNA from 1 species
AGCGUUGUAUCCGUGCUGAGAUUUCGUCAAACACCAAACCACAAGGGCUGAUCAGACUGCCAAGAUAAGUGAAGCG